rnacentral:rRNA from 1 species
CCUACGGGAGGCAGCAGUGAGGAAUAUUGGUCAAUGGCCGGAAGGCUGAACCAGCCAAGCCGCGUGAAGGACGAAGGUGCCAAGCAUUGUAAACUUCUUUUGUCAAGGGACAAAAUCAGGCUCGAGAGCCUGACCGAGGGUACUUGAAGAAAAAGCAUCGGCUAACUCCGUGCCCGCAGCCGCGGUAAUACGGAGGAUGCGAGCGUUAUCCGGAUUUAUUGGGUUUAAAGGGUGCGUAGGCGGGCUGUUAUGUCAGUGGUAAAAGCCCGGGGCUCAACCCCGGAGAGCCGUUGAAACUGGCUGCCUUGAGAUGUCGAGAGGUAUGCGGAAUGCGCAGUGUAGCGGUGAAAUGCUUAGAUAUUGCGCAGAACUCCGAUUGCGAAGGCAGCAGACCGGCGGCGAUCUGACGCUGAGGCACGAAAGCGUGGGUAUCGAACAGGAUUAGAUACCCCGGUAGUC